UGAGGAAUCUUCCGCAAUGGGCGAAAGCCUGACGGAGCAACGCCGCGUGAAUGAAGAAGGCCUUCGGGUCGUAAAGUUCUGUCUUUUAGGAAGAAGGCCCCCGAUGUAAAUAAUGUUGGGGGAUGACAGUACUAGAGGAGGAAGCUCCGGCUAACUACGUGCCAGCAGCCGCGGUAAUACGUAGGGAGCGAGCGUUGUCCGGAAUUACUGGGCGUAAAGGGCGCGUAGGCGGGUAAUUAAGUCAGAUGUGAAAGCCCCGGGCUUAACUCGGGGAUUGCAUUUGAAACUGGUUAUCUUGAGGGCAGGAGAGGAAAGUGGAAUUCCUAGUGUAGCGGUGGAAUGCGUAGAUAUUAGGAGGAACACCAGUGGCGAAGGCGACUUUCUGGACUGUACCUGACGCUGAGGCGCGAAAGCAUGGGGAGCAAACG
rnacentral:rRNA from 1 species